GAUGAACGCUGGCGGCGUGCCUAAUACAUGCAAGUCGAGCGAACAGAUGAGGAGCUUGCUCCUCUGACGUUAGCGGCGGACGGGUGAGUAACACGUGGAUAACCUACCUAUAAGACUGGGAUAACUUCGGGAAACCGGAGCUAAUACCGGAUAAUAUAUUGAACCGCAUGGUUCAAUAGUGAAAGACGGUUUUGCUGUCACUUAUAGAUGGAUCCGCGCCGCAUUAGCUAGUUGGUAAGGUAACGGCUUACCAAGGCGACGAUGCGUAGCCGGCCUGAGAGGGUGAUCGGCCACACUGGAACUGAGACACGGUCCAGACUCCUACGGGAGGCAGCAGUAGGGAAUCUUCCGCAAUGGGCGAAAGCCUGACGGGGCAACGCCGCGUGAGUGAUGAAGGUCUUCGGAUCGUAAAACUCUGUUAUUAGGGAAGAACAAAUGUGUAAGUAACUAUGCACGUCUUGACGGUACCUAAUCAGAAAGCCACGGCUAACUACGUG
rnacentral:rRNA from 1 species